GGGGCUAUAGCUCAGCUGGGAGAGCGCUUGCAUGGCAUGCAAGAGGUCAGCGGUUCGAUCCCGUCAUCACCACCA
rnacentral:tRNA from 1 species